rnacentral:sRNA from 16 species
CUUUAAAAAUCUGGAUCAAGCUGAAAAUUGAAACGACACACUGUUUAAGUGUGUUCGAGUCUCUCAAAUUUUCGCGACACGAUGGUGUUUUACGAAACAUCUUCGG